UACGAAGGGGGCUAGCGUUGCUCGGAAUCACUGGGCGUAAAGCGCACGUAGGUGGGUCGUUAAGUCGGGGGUGAAAUCCUGGAGCUCAACUCCAGAACUGCCUUCGAUACUGGCGAUCUUGGAGUCCGGGAGAGGUGAGUGGAACUGCGAGUGUAGAGGUGAAAUUCGUAGAUAUUCGCAAGAACACCAGUGGCGAAGGCGGCUCACUGGCCCGGUACUGACGCUGAGGCGCGAAAGCGUGGGGAGCGAACAGG
rnacentral:rRNA from 1 species